UACAGAGGUGGCAAGCGUUGUUCGGAAUUACUGGGCGUAAAGGGCGCGUAGGCGGCCAUCUAAGUCAGACGUGAAAUCCCCCGGACUUAACCUGGGAACUGCGUCUGAUACUGGAAGGCUUGAGUAUGGGAGAGGGAUGUAGAAUUCCAGGUGUAGCGGUGAAAUGCGUAGAUAUCUGGAGGAAUACCGGUGGCGAAGGCGGCAUCCUGGACCAUUACUGACGCUGAGGCGGCGAAAGCUAGGGGAGCAAACGGG
rnacentral:rRNA from 1 species